UGGAAACAUGAAUUUGCUAAAUAAAUAUAUGAUUUUGUCUUUGCUGUUGAGCGCAAUGGUUUCCAUCUCAAAUGGAGAGGUCUGUCAAGCUCGUGGAGGAAGUUGUUAUGCGCUCCCAGAAGUGGCCAACAACUGUGCAGAUCCGACGAAGCAUCCGAAGCUAACAUAUUCGUCGCCCGAUUGUUCGGAUACUGAAAUGUGUUGCAUACACUUAACUUAAUUCCAGUUACAGUUGGCUCACAGUUCCAUCCAAUACUGCAAGGGGAGCUUCAAGUAGUAACGAAUGAAUUAAAAUAUAAAAAAAGAGUACAAAUGUU